AAAGAAUUCACCUUACUCUAUAAUUUUUUUCCCAGUAAUUUUUUAUAUGAUGUUGGUUGUGUUUCUCUCACAUUCUUUUCAUUAUUUCAUGAAUAUUCUCCAGUCUCUACUUACUCUCCCUGCAAGUUCUCUCUGUAAUGCUAAUUUCUGUUUCUCUGUCUUGGCUGGUUGGCUCUUCAUUACGCUCUUCCUGUGCAUGUAACUAAUAACCAUCUAAGCAGUUGCUUGCCAGUGGUUUGGAGUGGCUGCACUA
rnacentral:misc_RNA from 1 species